AACGAACGCUGGCGGCAGGCUUAACACAUGCAAGUCGAACGCCCCGCAAGGGGAGUGGCAGACGGGUGAGUAACGCGUGGGAAUCUACCCAGUUCUACGGAACAACUGAGGGAAACUUCAGCUAAUACCGUAUACGCCCUACGGGGGAAAGAUUUAUCGGAAUUGGAUGAGCCCGCGCAAGAUUAGCUAGUUGGUGGGGUAAUGGCCUACCAAGGCGACGAUCUUUAGCUGGUCUGAGAGGAUGAUCAGCCACACUGGGACUGAGACACGGCCCAGACUCCUACGGGAGGCAGCAGUGGGGAAUAUUGGACAAUGGGCGCAAGCCUGAUCCAGCCAUGCCGCGUGAGUGAUGAAGGCCUUAGGGUUGUAAAGCUCUUUCAGUGGGGACGAUAAUGACGGUACCCACAGAAGAAGCCCCGGCUAACUUCGUGCCAGCCGCCGCGGUAAAAC
rnacentral:rRNA from 1 species